UCUACCAUAGUGCGUUUAAAUUUCUCUUGCCUUUUCUGACUACGUGUUUUGCGAGACUUCCCGGGUUUUGUCUCAAGCUCAGCAUCAUAGAAAGGUCAUAAAGAACUGGCAGGUCAUGACCCAAAACAACUGGGAAAGGAAGGUCAUCAACAACUCCUACUUUCAGAAGAUACAUCUGUCCUUGAAUUUCCAAGUAGAGAUCAGCAGUAGGAUAAAGUCUUUUAUCACCAUGUACACAGCAGAUGGAAACUGUCUCUUGAGUGGAAACAAGGUUGACUGGUACAUGUUGUCGAUGAAUUAAAGUCUGUGUACUGCCAGUGUCAAUCAGUGCAUUGAAACAUUUCCCAUUCACUUUAACAGUGGUCAUUUUAAUAGGCUGGUUAGCUCGACUUUCCAAAGCAUGGCUCUGAUACGGAACAAAACACAUCUGAGUGAGCUUGGCUGAAUUUCUUGGGCAAAGGGGUUUAAUAUGUCCUUCCUGCCCACACAAAUAGCAGAUUGGUGGUUUAUUGGAAGAUUUUGCUGGUUUACUCAUCUGAUCGUCAUGCACAGGCAUUCUCGGUGCACCUGGAGCCAUUCUGUGGUGGUGGUGUUGUGGGGCUGUUGGCCUGCGUGAGUCUUUUAUACCCCUCCAUUGCAGGUUGCUCCAUGGUACAUUUUUCUUGCGAGCAGCCACAAACACCUCUGCCAGUGUUGCGGCUUCAGCUGCUGAUUUAGGCCCAUGUUCUUUUAUCCAGACCUGAAGCUCAGGAGACAUCAUUCUUAAGUAUUGUUCCAUAAUGAUUAUCUCACCAAUUUCUUUUACCGUUUUACCUCUGGGUUGAAUCCACUUAUCAUAGAGUUCUUUGAGACGGGCAUAAAGCUCCUUGGGACUUUCGUCGGGGCCCACUUCCAAGGAACGAAAUCUCUGUCGGUAAGACUCAGGGCUGAUGUCAUAUUUAUGCAAGAUUGCAGUUUUAACUUUUUCAUAGUUCAAAGAAUCAUCGACAUCCAUGUUAACAUAGGCACUUCUGGCCUUACCAGUGAGCAGUGGGAUGAGGCGGAAAACCCAGUCUGACUCCACCCACUUGCACGCUGUUGCUAUGCGUUCAAAAGUUAUUAGGAAAUGUUCAAUGUCAUCGUUUUCUGUUAGCUUUUCUAACCUGGGAUCCAUAGAGAAGCGAGGGUGAGUGGUUACUUGCUGUGCCCCUGCUGUCUGAUGUACGGCCUCUGGCAGCCGAUCAUCUGAACCAGACUCCUCUGUUGGAUCAGGGGCUGAUGAGGUGUAAUCAGGAACAGGUGACGUCCGGGCCUGCACCUCCAUCUGCAAAAGUUGGAACUGAUGCUGCAGGCCUUUUAGCCUGUGUUCCUGCUGCUUUGCUUCCUCCUGGAGUCUCAUUUCUCUGGCUUCCUGUUGUCCCAUGAAGGCCUGGAGAAUACUAGUGAGAUGUUGUAAUGUUGGCUCUUCACCCUCAGUACCUGUACCAGCUCCUGAAGCUCCAGCCUCCUCCUCUUCUCCAUUGUCCAUGUUGGCAGUGCUGUAGUCCUUAUGUUCAAUGCGUGUUCUUGUAGUCCUUCCUCCUCGUUGCAUGGCUCACAAAAAAAAAAA